rnacentral:lncRNA from 1 species
GGGCAGGCAUCUACAUCAGGAGAGGCAGGGUUUUGGUUUUCUGGUGGCAAGCUGGACAACUGUCCUGCUAAAGUAGAGAGCUGAUUCAAAGGGUUGUCAACCAUGAGUUCUUGGGGGUCCCUUGGCAGGCCACCAGUUGGUGUAGUUUUAGCCAUAGCUUCAUAGGAGUCAGUCUGAAUAUUUGGGAUUUCGUGUGUAAAAUCAUUAAGGUAGUCUGGUUUCUGGACCACCAUGGAAGGUGGACUUAAGUUGAUUAGUGCUCUUCUGCUAUACCCCAGAUUGCUUGUUUUCUUUUGUAAAACCCCCCACAUUUUCUUGCUGCUUAAGGAAGACCUGGUACCUUUAAUUGGUACCAUUUUAUGUUUGCGCCUUCGAUGGUGGGACAGGUUACUUCGGUCACUGCAGCGGAAGGAGCACAAUUCACAUUUGUAUGGUUUUUCCCCAGUGUGAGAGCGCAUAUGGGCUUCCAGGUGGCGCUCGUAAGCAGAUGCAAAUGGACAUAAGUGACACCUGUGAGGCUUCUCGCCUGUGUGAGAGAGACAUGGAAGAGACUGCAAGAGGAGCUCACUCAUAGGACUUUUCAUGUUUGUCCACUGCAUGUGAGAACUGAUACAAAAAUAAAAUUCUUUGCAGAAAUGCAUACUUGUAUACUAGGUUUGUAAGAUCUGUAAAGAAACCCAAGAACUGAAAUAAAGCUUAAGAAUUCAUUAGCAACAACUUGUUUAUACUUACAAUCUAUUUAGUAUGAAAAUCAUUACAGCUUCAACUGGCACUUGGGGAAAAAGUAAAAAUAUUCCCCACAUAAUAAGGAGAUAUAAAGAUUUUAUCAGCCAGGGAGUAGCAAUACAGAGCUCUAAUCGCAGCACUUGGGAGGCAGAGGCAAGUGGAUCUCUGUGAGUUCAAGGCCAGCCAGGGCUACACACAGAAACCCUGUCUCAAACCACCACCACCCAAAAUAUUUUUAAUCAACUGUAUGUUUCAAAGUAUAUGUUCACAGAUCUAUCUAUGCAUAAAAACUUGUUUUCCUCAAGGGAAAAAACCCACCCCCCACCCUGCAAAAGAAAGUUCAAAAUCAAAAUGAACUCCAGGUUUAAAUAUGAAAUUGCCAGGGCCAAGGCUUCUCCUCCAGUUUCCUAUUCUAGUUCAGAAAGACCAACUUUAUUUAAAAGUCAAACUCUUCAAAUAUGUAAAACUGUCAUUUAGAAUGUAAGACUGAGAAUCACUCCUCUGACAAGGACAGAGCACCUAGCAUGUUCCAGAUUUCAUGCUAGCACUAGGGGGUACAAAGAUGGCCUCUGGAUGUCCUCAGGAAGCGUUCAGGCCACCAUGAUGUACUGCAGAAGCACAGACUGUGCCUGGGCUUGGGUGAGGGCAAGGCGUGCUUUGGAAGGUUUCUCCAAAGGGUGGCUAAGAGCGACCUGGGUUAGCCAGUGCACUCUACAGAAGCCUUUCUAUUUUCUAUAGUAGUGAGCUCCUGAAUCUGACAGCAGAAAGAGAAAGAUUAUGGAGACCAAGCAGGAAAAUGGGUAGGGAGGAGGAGCCAGGAGUCUGUUUCCAGUAUUUGUAUUCCUUUAAGCCACUGCUUUGAAAAAAAAAAAAAAAAUGGAGUUACCACCCAACAAACCUUCAUGAACCUUGUUGGGAACACUCAGAACUCUGUGGCCUUGCCUCCCACGGCCCCUCCAGCUGUUUCUCCAUACCUGUGUGGAUCCUGAUGUGCUCAAUGAGCCUGGCCGUUCCUUUGCUGGCAUAGUUGCAGUACCGACACUUGAGCUUCCCAUCGAAGGUCCUCUCAAACCCGUCUACUAACAUUCCUGAGUUUUCAUCCAGGGAAACUUCAACAGACGGGUGAUCAAGGCCAUUCUGAUCGCCAUCUGUUCCAGCUAUAAACAAAAGCAAAAGAAAUCGUGCAGCUCAGAACCGACCCAGUUCAGCAUGUCAGACUUCACGUGGCUCCUCUACACACUGAGGGCUUCCUUCCCACGAGUGGGAUUCAUUAAACAAUCUAGAUUUCUUGAACUGGGACAAUGUUUAUACAAAAGUACAAUUAUGCUCUAAGAACCUUUAAAAAGGACAUUUACAUAUAAAAAUUUACCAACUCUCACAUGCUUUUGAAGAAAAUAGGUCAGGUAGAAAGGAGUAAAGAGGGUUAUUCAGGUUGGAGAGAUGGCUCAGUGGUUAAGAGCACUGACUGCUCUUCCAGAGGUCCUGAGUUCAAUUCCCAGUACCCACAUGGUGGCUCACAACUAUUUGUCAUGGGAUCUGAUGCACUCUUCUGGUGUGUGUCUGAAGAGAGCAACAGUGUACUCAUAUAAAUAAAUAAAUCUUUUUUUUAUUUUUUGGUUUUUCGAGACAGGGUUUCUCUGUAUAGCCCUGGCUGUCCUGGAACUCACUCUGUAGACAAAAAAAAAAAAAAUAAAUAAAUCUU